UACGUAGGUGACAAGCGUUGUCCGGAUUUACUGGGCGUAAAGAGCGCGCAGGCGGUCGAUCAAGUCGAGUGUGAAAGCCCCCGGCUCAACUGGGGAGGGUCACUCGAUACUGAUCGACUUGAAGGCAGGAGAGGGAAGCGGAAUUCCCGGUGUAGUGGUGAAAUGCGUAGAUAUCGGGAGGAACACCAAUUGCGAAGGCAGCUCGCUGGGACGUUACUGACGCUGAGACGCGAAAGCGUGGGGAGCGAACAGG
rnacentral:rRNA from 1 species